UUCCUUGAACCGCAUGGUUCAAGGAUGAAAGACGGUUUCGGCUGUCACUUACAGAUGGACCCGCGGCGCAUUAGCUAGUUGGUGGGGUAAUGGCUCACCAAGGCGACGAUGCGUAGCCGACCUGAGAGGGUGAUCGGCCACACUGGGACUGAGACACGGCCCAGACUCCUACGGGAGGCAGCAGUAGGGAAUCUUCCGCAAUGGACGAAAGUCUGACGGAGCAACGCCGCGUGAGUGAUGAAGGUUUUCGGAUCGUAAAGCUCUGUUGUUAGGGAAGAACAAGUGCGAGAGUAACUGCUCGCACCUUGACGGUACCUAACCAGAAAGCCACGGCUAACUACGUGCCAGCAGCCGCGGUAAUACGUAGGUGGCAAGCGUUGUCCGGAAUUAUUGGGCGUAAAGGGCUCGCAGGCGGUUUCUUAAGUCUGAUGUGAAAGCCCCCGGCUCAACCGGGGAGGGUCAUUGGAAACUGGGAAACUUGAGUGCAGAAGAGGAGAGUGGAAUUCCACGUGUAGCGGUGAAAUGCGUAGAGAUGUGGAGGAACACCAGUGGCGAAGGCGACUCUCUGGUCUGUAACUGACCGCU
rnacentral:rRNA from 1 species